rnacentral:rRNA from 1 species
UGAGGAAUAUUGGUCAAUGGGCGCGAGCCUGAACCAGCCAAGUCGCGUGAGGGAAGACGGUCCUAUGGAUUGUAAACCUCUUUUGUCGGGGAGCAAAAGACGCCACGCGUGGCGUUCCGAGAGUACCCGAAGAAAAAGCAUCGGCUAACUCCGUGCCAGCAGCCGCGGUAAUACGGAGGAUGCGAGCGUUAUCCGGAUUUAUUGGGUUUAAAGGGUGCGCAGGCGGAAGAUCAAGUCAGCGGUAAAAUUGAGAGGCUCAACCUCUUCGAGCCGUUGAAACUGGUUUUCUUGAGUGAGCGAGAA